rnacentral:rRNA from 1 species
CCUACGGGAGGCAGCAGUGAGGAAUAUUGGUCAAUGGACGAGAGUCUGAACCAGCCAAGUAGCGUGAAGGAUGACUGCCCUAUGGGUUGUAAACUUCUUUUAUAUGGGAAUAAAAUGUUCCACGUGUGGGAUUCUGUAUGUACCAUAUGAAUAAGGAUCGGCUAACUCCGUGCCAGCAGCCGCGGUAAUACGGAGGAUCCGAGCGUUAUCCGGAUUUAUUGGGUUUAAAGGGAGCGUAGGUGGAUUGUUAAGUCAGUUGUGAAAGUUUGCGGCUCAACCGUAAAAUUGCAGUUGAAACUGGCAGGCUUGAGUACAGUAGAGGUGGGCGGAAUUCGUGGUGUAGCGGUGAAAUGCUUAGAUAUCACGAAGAACUCCGAUUGCGAAGGCAGCUCACUGGACUGCAACUGACGCUGAGGCUCGAAAGUGUGGGUAUCAAACAGGAUUAGAUACCCGAGUAGUC